UAACGCGUGGAUAACCUGCCGUAUACAGGGGGAUAACACUUAGAAAUAGGUGCUAAUACCGCAUAAGCGCACAGCUUUGCAUGAAGCAGUGUGAAAAGCAAAAAGUUUAAAACUUUUGACGGUAUACGAUGGAUCCGCGUCUGAUUAGCCAGUUGGCGGGGUAACGGCCCACCAAAGCGACGAUCAGUAGCCGGCCUGAGAGGGCGGACCGGCCACAUUGGGACUGAGACACGGCCCAGACUCCUACGGGAGGCAGCAG
rnacentral:rRNA from 1 species